rnacentral:miRNA from 1 species
AUUGCUUCUGCGAUACUUAUCUU